rnacentral:rRNA from 1 species
AUGGUCCUCCGUAGCGAUUCAGGUGAAGUCAUCUAUUCCUCCUGUCGCUACCUCAGGUCCUGCACUUCAGCGCUGGAAGCAGAGCUAGAUGCAUGUAUGGAAGGAAUCAAUAUAGCAAGGGCCUGGAGCACAGCGCCAAUGAUAGUGGAAACUGAUUGUUUGAUGGUUGUCCAGAUGCUCCUUGAGAGCGACACAAACAGGUCUCCAUGUGCAACGUAUGUACACGAGAUCAAGAGACUACUUGGGCAGGUAGGGGAACAUGUGAUUUCGCAUGUGGUAAGGAGUAGAAACACUGUAGCCCAUGCUCUAGCUCACUUGAGGCAGGCAGGGCAGCGAACAGCCGUUUGGCUACGUAGUACUCCGAGAGAAAUAGACAUUUUAUGUAAGGCAGACCGUAUUGAUCCGACUUAA